AGAGUUUGAUUAUGGCUCAGGAUGAACGCUAGCUACAGGCUUAACACAUGCAAGUCGAGGGGCAGCAUUGGAGUAGCAAUACUUCAGAUGGCGACCGGCGCACGGGUGAGUAACACGUAUCCAACCUGCCGCCUACUCGGGGAUAGCCUUUCGAAAGAAAGAUUAAUACCCGAUGGUAUAAAGAGUUCGCAUGUUCUCUUUAUUAAAGAAUUUCGGUAAGCGAUGGGGAUGCGUUCCAUUAGAUAGUUGGCGGGGUAACGGCCCACCAAGUCUACGAUGGAUAGGGGUUCUGAGAGGAAGGUCCCCCACAUUGGAACUGAGACACGGUCCAAACUCCUACGGGAGGCAGCAGUGAGGAAUAUUGGUCAAUGGACGAGAGUCUGAACCAGCCAAAGUAGCGUGAAGGAUGACUGCCCUAUGGGUUGUAAACUUCUUUUAUAAGGGAAUAAAGUGAGGGACGUGUCCCUUUUUGUAUGUACCUUAUGAAUAAGGAUCGGCUAACUCCGUGCCAGCCGCGGC
rnacentral:rRNA from 1 species